rnacentral:rRNA from 1 species
CGAUAAUCUGCCCUAAGGUUGAGGAUACCCACGGAAAACUGUGGCUAAUACUUGAUAUUGAAUGGAUUCUGGAACGAACCAUUCAUUAAACGCAAGGCCUUAGGAUGAGUCGGCGGCGGAUUAGGCAGUUGGUGGUGUAAUGGACCACCAAACCAAAGAUCCGUAGGGGCCCUGAGAGGGGUAGCCCCGAGAGGGACACUGAAAUACUGGUCCCAGCUCCACGGAGUGCAGCAGGCGCGAAACCUCCACAAUGCGCGAAAGCGUGAUGGGGGGAUUCCGAGUGCUUACAUUUUUUGUAAGCUUUUGCCAAGAGUUCACAUCUUGGAGAAUAAGUGGUGGGUAAGACCGGUGCCAGCAGCCGCGGUAACCCCGGCGCCACGAGUGGCAAUCUUAUAUUGGGCCUAAAGCAUUCGUAGCAGGUUUGAAAAAUCCUUUGUGAAAUUGUUGAACUCAAUACAACAGCGUGCAGGGGACACUUUCAGACUAGAGACUGGGAGGAGUUGGGGGUAUGCCUUGGGGAGCGGUUAAAUGUGAUAAUCCAAGGUAGACCACCUGUGGCGAAGGCGCCCAACUAGAACAGUUCUGACUGUGAGGGAUGAAAGCUAGGGGAGCGAUCCGGAUUAGAUACCCGAGUAGUCCUAGCUGUAAACACUGUGAGCUAGGUGUCGCAUAUUCUACGAGAAUAUGCGGUGUCGAAAAGAAGUUGAUAAGCUCACCGCCUGGGAAGUACGGUCGCAAGACUGAAACU